GAUGAACGCUGGCUACAGGCUUAACACAUGCAAGUCGAGGGGAAACGACGGGGAAGCUUGCUUCCCCGGGCGUCGACCGGCGCACGGGUGAGUAACGCGUAUCCAACCUGCCUCUGACUGAGGGAUAACCCGUCGAAAGUCGGCCUAAUACCUCAUGGCAUCGUCUGCGGGCAUCCAACGACGAUUAAAGAUUUCAUCGGUCAGAGAUGGGGAUGCGUCUGAUUAGCUUGUUGGCGGGGUAACGGCCCACCAAGGCUACGAUCAGUAGGGGUUCUGAGAGGAAGGUCCCCCACAUUGGAACUGAGACACGGUCCAAACUCCUACGGGAGGCAGCAGUGAGGAAUAUUGGUCAAUGGGCGAGAGCCUGAACCAGCCAAGUAGCGUGCAGGAUGACGGCCCUAUGGGUUGUAAACUGCUUUUAUGCGGGGAUAAAGUGAGGGACGUGUCCUUCAUUGCAGGUACCGC
rnacentral:rRNA from 1 species